AACGUAGGACACAAGCGUUAUCCGGAGUUACUGGGCGUAAAGGGCGUGUAGGCGGAUCGGUAAGUCUACUCUGAAAGCUCCUGGCUAAACUGGGAGAGGCGAGUGGAGACUGUCGGUCUAGAGUGAGGAAGAGGAAAGUGGAAUUCCGCGUGUAGUGGUGAAAUGCGUAGAUAGUCGGGAGGAACACCUGUGGCAGAAAGCGGCUCACUGGACCACAACUGACGCUGAGGCGCGAAAGCUAGGGGAGCAAACAGG
rnacentral:rRNA from 1 species